AACGAACGCUGGCGGCAGGCUUAACACAUGCAAGUCGAGCGCCCCGCAAGGGGAGCGGCAGACGGGUGAGUAACGCGUGGGAAUCUACCUUUUGCUACGGAAUAACUCAGGGAAACUUGUGCUAAUACCGUAUGUGCCCUUCGGGGGAAAGAUUUAUCGGCAAAGGAUGAGCCCGCGUUGGAUUAGCUAGUUGGUGAGGUAAAGGCUCACCAAGGCGACGAUCCAUAGCUGGUCUGAGAGGAUGAUCAGCCACACUGGGACUGAGACACGGCCCAGACUCCUACGGGAGGCAGCAGUGGGGAAUAUUGGACAAUGGGCGCAAGCCUGAUCCAGCCAUGCCGCGUGAGUGAUGAAGGCCCUAGGGUUGUAAAGCUCUUUCAACGGUAAGAUAAUGACGG
rnacentral:rRNA from 1 species